rnacentral:misc_RNA from 1 species
UUUCCGUAGGUGAACCUGCGGAAGGAUCAUUAUUGUAUAACCGAGGGGCGAGGGCUGUCGCUGACCCGAAAGGUCGUGCACGCCCUAGUGCCCUCACACACAUCCAUCUCACCCCUAUGUGCACCACCGCGUGGGUCCCCCUUUGGCUUGUUCGGAGGGGGUCUUACGUUUUCACACAAACUUUGUAUGCAGUGUAGAAUGUAUUUUUUGUUUUUGCGAUCACGCAAUCAAUACAACUUUCAACAACGGAUCUCUUGGCUCUC